rnacentral:rRNA from 1 species
AUGAUGGAUCACCUCCUCACCCGAGCUCGACGCGGCUCCAUCGCUGAUAUGCAGCUUUGCGGACCUCCAAGCCAUUACUAUACGCUGGCUUUUCGUGUUGCCAAUCAUACGACUCGGACGGCAAGGUCUCCAUCUCCAUCUCCAACUCGGAGCCGGACGACAACGGCGACCCCGGCGCUGCGCGCGCGCCCGGCCUUCUCCUGGCGGAAGCUCUGGCGCUUCACGGGGCCCGGCUUCAUGUGCGCGCUCGUGCAGCUCCUCUGGCUGCUGCUCUGGGCCACGGUCAUGGGCGCGCUCGUGCAGCUGCUCUUCGCGCGCCUCGGGGUCGUCACCGGGAAGCACCUCGCCGAGCUCUGCCGGGAGGAGUACCCGCCCUGGGCCACACGCGCGCUCUGGGUCGUGACGGAGCUCGCGCUCGUCGGCGCCGACAUACAGGAGGUCAUCGGCAGCGCGAUUGCCAUCAAGAUCCUCUCCGGGGGCAUCGUGCCGCUCUGGGGCGGCGUCGUCAUCACCGCCUUCGAUCUCGUCCAGGCCGACGCCGUGUCUGCCUUCCGCUCGCUUUGA